rnacentral:lncRNA from 1 species
CCCUUCUUCAUUAUCAACUUUAAUCCAUUGUCUGUCAAUCUUCUUAUAGCACAUCCUCUCCAAAGAUUUCUUAUUAUAAGUAUCAUAAUGUUUUAAUUCCUUAAGAGACUCACCCUCCAUGUCUACACCAAAAUCUCUAAAAACUAGGGUGAGGAACUUUUCAUAAGGCAAUGCAGGCUUGGCUUUCGAGCUCACUUUCUGCAUUAUCCUCA